GGCAGCAGUGAGAAAUAUUGGUCAAUGGGCGGAAGCCUGAACCAGCCAAGUCGCGUGAGGGAAGACGGUCCUAUGGAUUGUAAACCUCUUUUGCAGGGGAGCAAGGCGCGGUACGUGUACCGCGAAGGAGAGUACCCUGAGAAAAAGCAUCGGCUAACUCCGUGCCAGCAGCCGCGGUAAUACGGAGGAUGCGAGCGUUAUCCGGAUUUAUUGGGUUUAAAGGGUGCGCAGGCGGACUGUUAAGUCAGCGGUAAAAUGUCGGUGCUCAACACCGGCCGGCCGUUGAAACUGGCAGCCUUGAGUGAGCGAGAAGUAUGCGGAAUGCGUGGUGUAGCGGUGAAAUGCAUAGAUAUCACGCAGAACUCCGAUUGCGAAGGCAGCAUACCGGCGCUCAACUGACGCUCAGGCACGAAAGCGUGGGUAUCGAACAGGCUUAGAUACCCUGGUAGUCCACGCAGUAAACGAUGAAUGCUCACUGUCCGGGCCGUUUAAGGC
rnacentral:rRNA from 1 species